GAGUUGUGGAUACUGUCUGCCUUGACAUCAGCAUGGUCUUUGACACCAUUUCCCACAAUGUCCUUGUUACGAAACUUAUUAUGUAGAGGAUAGAUGAGUGGAUGGUGAGGUAGAGUGAAAAAUGCACAUAGCAUUUUUUAGGGUUUCAGCAGCAGAGCUGCACUCUGUGGAACUGCAUGGCUGUCAGACUGAACUUAUUUCACUGACUCCACUGACAACUGCAAGGCAGAUGGGCUUCAGUUUGCCUGACAUAAGCCACCCAAGAUGGUAGAAAGUGAGAAAACUCAGCGUGUAAAGGUAUUCCUUUGUCUCUCCUGCUGCAUUGGACAUGGAGGAAAGACGGAUAAUGAGGUUUCUCUAGUAGCAGCGAAAGGAUCACAUCUACUGCACUGGAGAAUACUUACUUGACAGUAAAUGCGCCUAAUGGACACACGCCAGAGGAUUCAGCAGGAAUGCGGGUGCUGUCCACCCAUAAGUGAUGGAGGAUAAUGAUGACAGGGAGAGUGUGUGUAUUAUUAUUAAAGGCUU